UACGUAGGAUGCAAGCGUUGUCCGGAAUUACUGGGCGUAAAGGGCGAGCAGGUGGCAUUACAAGUCUGAUGUGAAAUCUCCCGGCUUAACUGGGAGGGUGCGCCGAAUACUGAAUGACUUGGAGUGCGGGAGAGGAAAGUGGAGUUCCUGGUGUAGCGGUGAAAUGCGUAGAUAUCAGGAGGAACACCGGUGGUGUAGACGGCUUUCUGGACCGUAACUGACGCUGAGACACGAAAGCGUGGGUAGCAAACAGG
rnacentral:rRNA from 1 species